GGCGAGAUGGCCGAGCGGUCUAAGGCGCUGUGUUAAGGUUCUCCGUCUCUCGACUCCGAGAGCGGUUAUCCUCCGCAGUCUUCGGACGUGGGUUCGAAUCCCACUCUCGUCA
rfam:Trichosporon asahii var. asahii CBS 8904 unplaced genomic scaffold scaffold00066, whole genome shotgun sequence.